UUCCGGUUGAUCCUGCCGGACCUGACUGCUAUCGGAUUGGUACUAAGCCAUGCGAGUCAUUGUAGCAAUACAAGGCGGACGGCUCAGUAACACGUAGUCAACCUAACUCGUGGACGUGGAUAACCUCGGGAAACUGAGAAUAAACCACGAUAGAUCAUAGUGCCUGGAAUGGCUUAUGGUCCAAACAGUUUACUGCCAUGGGAUGGGACUGCGGCCUAUCAGCUUGUUGGUGAGGUAAUGGCCCACCAAGGCGAUUACAGGUACGGGCUCUGAGAGGAGAAGCCCGGAGAUGGGUACUGAGACACGGACCCAGGCCCUAUGGGGCGCAGCAGGCGAGAAACCUUAGCAAUGUGCGAAAGCACGACUGGGCCAGUCCGAGUGAUUCCUGAUAAAGGAGUCUUUUGCCUGUCCUAAAAGCACAGGUGAAUAAGGGGUGGGCAAGUCUGGUGUCAGCCGCCGCGGUAAUACCAGCACCUCGAGUGGUCAGGACGUUUAUUGGGCCUAAAGCAUCCGUAGCCGGCUUUGCAAGUCUUCGGUUAAAUCCACCUGCUCAACAGAUGGGCCGCUGGAGAUACUACAGAGCUAGGGAGUGGGAGAGGCAGACGGUAUUCAGUGGGUAGGGGUAAAAUCCUCUGAUCCAUUGAGGACCACCAGUGGCGAAGGCGGUCUGCCAGAACACGUUCGACGGUGAGGGAUGAAAGCUGGGGGAGCAAACCGGAUUAGAUACCCGGGUAGUCCCAGCUGUAAACGAUGCAAACUCGGUGAUGCAUUGGCUUAUGGCCAAUGCAGUGCCGCAGGGAAGCCGUUAAGUUUGCCGCCUGGGAAGUACGGACGCAAGUCUGAAACUUAAAGGAAUUGGCGGGGGAGCACCACAAGGGGUGAAGCCUGCGGUUCAAUUGGAGUCAACGCCGGAGG
rnacentral:rRNA from 1 species